rnacentral:misc_RNA from 1 species
UUAACUAUUAAAAUAAUACUCGGACGACAUAAAUUUCAGGGUUUAAAUCCUCUGGCAGGCACUUACUAGCCGAAGCCAGUGCCUAAGCUGACGCCUAAGCAGCCUGCCAAAGCAACAAGAGUAAAUACACAAGGGUGGGCGAGAUUUGCUCUCUAUAAUGAUCCUUCCGCAGGUUCACCUACGGAAA